UACGUAGGGUGCAAGCGUUGUCCGGAAUUAUUGGGCGUAAAGAGCUCGUAGGCGGUUUGUCGCGUCGGCUGUGAAAACCCGAGGCUCAACCUCGGGCCUGCAGUCGAUACGGGCAAACUAGAGUUCGGUAGGGGAGUCUGGAAUUCCUGGUGUAGCGGUGAAAUGCGCAGAUAUCGGGAGGAACACCAGUAGCGAAGGCGGCACUCUGGGCCGGUACUGACGCUGAGGAGCGAAAGCGUGGGGAGCAAACAGG
rnacentral:rRNA from 1 species